CUAGGGAAGAACAAGAGAGGAGAAAACAGCUGAUGACAGCUGACUGUGUUGAGAGUCUCAGGAAGAGAACAGGGAAUCAAGCAGUGAGUCAGCUCAUUCUCUUUUCUCAGGCUUCAGGCAGGAAAGGGGGAGAUCUAUGGAUAAUAAAAGAAGCUAGAAAGUUAUUGUUUACAGGAAUGCCUCUUCUCAGCUGGGCUCUGACCUCUUUCCAUCACCGCUACAUGGACUUUCACCAUAUCGAGGAUGUGGUGCCAGGUACUGAGGUUUUAGCACUGUGCCUCUGUGCCAAUCUCAUCUUGGAAAGUCCCUCAAGUGCUUGGGAUCUUCUCAUCUUGUGGCAUCCAUCAUCUGCCAUGGAAACUUCCUUAUCCCAUUGGUGAGUUUGUUCCAGAGCUUCCAUUUUGGAGAGAGGCUCAAGUUGUCCAAAUUCAUUCCCUUCCUGGCUUUACUUCCGACUUUCCCAACUUCACCAUGCCCUUACACUGGAUACCUUCAUCCUUUUCUCCAUCCCUGCCCCCAAUUACCCAGCUUCCUUUUGGAUAUUGCCUUCUACCCAUUAGAAUGCGAGUUUCUUGAGGACAGGGACUGUCUUUUCCCCUUUAUUGGAUUCCUGACACUCAGCACAGUAUCUGACAUAGUUGCCUUGCCUUGCAACCCACAUUGGAACAUGAAAACUCAGCAACAUUCUGACAAUUGUUUUGGUACCUGUUUGUAUAUCUCAAGUGGUGGGCUCUUGAGCCCAUUCUAUUAAAAAAAAUCCCUACCUUCUGUCUUCCAAUCUCUCAGAUAGUUAAGGACAGUGAUCAUGUCCCCAUCAUCUUCCCUUCUCCAAGCUAGUUUUGGUGAAACACUUCUGCCAAGCUUCAUUUUGUACAGUUGCAAGUCUUCUCAUUUUUGAGCAGUAGUGAGAC
rnacentral:lncRNA from 1 species